GGUCAAGUGAAGAAGCGCAUACGGUGGAUGCCUUGGCAGUCAGAGGCGAUGAAAGACGUGGUAGCCUGCGAAAAGCUUCGGGAGUCGGCAAACAGACUUUGAUCCGGAGAUCUCUGAAUGGGGGAACCCACCUAGGAUAACCUAGGUAUCUUGUACUGAAUCCAUAGGUGCAAGAGGCGAACCAGGGGAACUGAAACAUCUAAGUACCCUGAGGAAAAGAAAUCAACCGAGAUUCCCUUAGUAGUGGCGAGCGAACGGGGAUUAGCCCUUAAGCUUCAUUGAUUUUAGCGGAACGCUCUGGAAAGUGCGGCCAUAGUGGGUGAUAGCCCCGUACGCGAAAGGAUCUUUGAAGUGAAAUCGAGUAGGACGGAGCACGAGAAACUUUGUCUGAACAUGGGGGGACCAUCCUCCAAGGCUAAAUACUACUGACUGACCGAUAGUGAACCAGUACCGUGAGGGAAAGGCGAAAAGAACCCCGGAGAGGGGAGUGAAAUAGAACCUGAAACCGUAUGCGUACAAGCAGUGGGAGCCUACUUGUUAGGUGACUGCGUACCUUUUGUAUAAUGGGUCAGCGACUUAUAUUCAGUGGCAAGCUUAACCGUAUAGGGUAGGCGUAGCGAAAGCGAGUCUUAAUAGGGCGUUUAGUCGCUGGGUAUAGACCCGAAACCGGGCGAUCUAUCCAUGAGCAGGUUGAAGGUUAGGUAACACUGACUGGAGGACCGAACCCACUCCCGUUGAAAAGGUAGGGGAUGACUUGUGGAUCGGAGUGAAAGGCUAAUCAAGCUCGGAGAUAGCUGGUUCUCCUCGAAAGCUAUUUAGGUAGCGCCUCAUGUAUCACUCUGGGGGGUAGAGCACUGUUUCGGCUAGGGGGUCAUCCCGACUUACCAAACCGAUGCAAACUCCGAAUACCCAGAAGUGCCGAGCAUGGGAGACACACGGCGGGUGCUAACGUCCGUCGUGAAAAGGAAACAACCCAGACCGCCAGCUAAGGUCCCAAAGUUGUGGUUAAGUGGUAAACGAUGUGGGAAGGCUUAGACAGCUAGGAGGUUGGCUUAGAAGCAGCCAUCCUUUAAAGAAAGCGUAAUAGCUCACUAGUCGAGUCGGCCUGCGCGGAAGAUGUAACGGGGCUCAAACCACACACCGAAGCUGCGGGUGUCACGUAAGUGACGCGGUAGAGGAGCGUUCUGUAAGCCUGUGAAGGUGAGUUGAGAAGCUUGCUGGAGGUAUCAGAAGUGCGAAUGCUGACAUGAGUAACGACAAUGGUGUGAAAACACCCACGCCGAAAGACCAAGGGUUCCUGCGCAACGUUAAUCGACGCAGGGUUAGUCGGUUCCUAAGGCGAGGCUGAAAAGCGUAGUCGAUGGGAAACAGGUUAAUAUUCCUGUACUUCUGGUUACUGCGAUGGAGGGACGGAGAAGGCUAGGCCAGCUUGGCGUUGGUUGUCCAAGUUUAAGGUGGUAGGCUGAAAUCUUAGGUAAAUCCGGGGUUUCAAGGCCGAGAGCUGAUGACGAGUCGUCUUUUAGAUGACGAAGUGGUUGAUGCCAUGCUUCCAAGAAAAGCUUCUAAGCUUCAGGUAACCAGGAACCGUACCCCAAACCGACACAGGUGGUCGGGUAGAGAAUACCAAGGCGCUUGAGAGAACUCGGGUGAAGGAACUAGGCAAAAUGGCACCGUAACUUCGGGAGAAGGUGCGCCGGCUAGGGUGAAGGAUUUACUCCGUAAGCUCUGGCUGGUCGAAGAUACCAGGCCGCUGCGACUGUUUAUUAAAAACACAGCACUCUGCAAACACGAAAGUGGACGUAUAGGGUGUGACGCCUGCCCGGUGCCGGAAGGUUAAUUGAUGGGGUUAGCGCAAGCGAAGCUCUUGAUCGAAGCCCCGGUAAACGGCGGCCGUAACUAUAACGGUCCUAAGGUAGCGAAAUUCCUUGUCGGGUAAGUUCCGACCUGCACGAAUGGCGUAACGAUGGCGGCGCUGUCUCCACCCGAGACUCAGUGAAAUUGAAAUCGCUGUGAAGAUGCAGUGUAUCCGCGGCUAGACGGAAAGACCCCGUGAACCUUUACUGUAGCUUUGCACUGGACUUUGAGCCUGCUUGUGUAGGAUAGGUGGGAGGCUUUGAAGCGUGGACGCCAGUUCGCGUGGAGCCAUCCUUGAAAUACCACCCUGGCAUGCUUGAGGUUCUAACUCUGGUCCGUGAUCCGGAUCGAGGACAGUGUAUGGUGGGCAGUUUGACUGGGGCGGUCUCCUCCUAAAGAGUAACGGAGGAGUACGAAGGUGCGCUCAGACCGGUCGGAAAUCGGUCGCAGAGUAUAAAGGCAAAAGCGCGCUUGACUGCGAGACAGACACGUCGAGCAGGUACGAAAGUAGGUCUUAGUGAUCCGGUGGUUCUGUAUGGAAGGGCCAUCGCUCAACGGAUAAAAGGUACUCCGGGGAUAACAGGCUGAUACCGCCCAAGAGUUCAUAUCGACGGCGGUGUUUGGCACCUCGAUGUCGGCUCAUCACAUCCUGGGGCUGAAGCCGGUCCCAAGGGUAUGGCUGUUCGCCAUUUAAAGUGGUACGCGAGCUGGGUUUAGAACGUCGUGAGACAGUUCGGUCCCUAUCUGCCGUGGACGUUUGAGAUUUGAGAGGGGCUGCUCCUAGUACGAGAGGACCGGAGUGGACGAACCUCUGGUGUUCCGGUUGUCACGCCAGUGGCAUUGCCGGGUAGCUAUGUUCGGAAAAGAUAACCGCUGAAAGCAUCUAAGCGGGAAACUUGCCUCAAGAUGAGAUCUCACUGGGAACUUGAUUCCCCUGAAGGGCCGUCGAAGACUACGACGUUGAUAGGCUGGGUGUGUAAGCGUUGUGAGGCGUUGAGCUAACCAGUACUAAUUGCCCGUGAGGCUUGACCAU
rnacentral:rRNA from 1 species